CUCGCUUCUCUGCCUUUUGGCUAGGAUCAAAGUGUAGUAUCUGUUCUUAUCAGCUUUAUAUCUGAUACAUGGCUCAUUGACCUAUAGUAAUAUUUAGUGUUAUACUUAACCUAGAAUUCUC
rnacentral:snRNA from 1 species